AGGGUUUGAUUCUGGCUCAGGACGAACGCUGGCGGCGUGCUUAACACAUGCAAGUCGAACGAAAAGAGGGAAAGAGCUUGCUCUUUCCGGAAUUGAGUGGCAAACGGGUGAGUAACACGUAAACAACCUGCCUUCAGGAUGGGGACAACAGACGGAAACGACUGCUAAUACCGAAUAAGUUCCAAGAGCCGCAUGGCCCAUGGAAGAAAAGGUGGCCUCUACCUGUAAGCUAUCGCCUGAAGAGGGGUUUGCGUCUGAUUAGCUGGUUGGAGGGGUAACGGCCCACCAAGGCGACGAUCAGUAGCCGGUCUGAGAGGAUGAACGGCCACACUGGAACUGAGACACGGUCCAG
rnacentral:rRNA from 1 species